GCCGGGUUGGCGGAAUAGGCAUACGCGGAUGUCUCAAACACAUCUGUCCGAAAGGACAUGCGGGUUCAAGUCCCGCACCCGGCACCA
rnacentral:tRNA from 1 species